AUUUUGGUAAAAAAAGAGAAGUCCUAUGCGAUUUGCGAAACUGAGUUUAAAAAACUUUUGACCAAAGUGAAUACUGAAAAAAAUUUUUCACGAUAUUCACAAAUGAACUCGAGUCGAGCUAAUCUAGUAUAUGACUGAUGAUGGAGUCUGAUGACUUCUUUAUGACCUCCAUCAAGUCAGAACUCACGAUAGAAAGACUAAAUUAUACGAUAACUGUACCUCG
rnacentral:lncRNA from 1 species